GAUGAACGCUAGCGGCAGGCUUAAUACAUGCAAGUCGAGGGACAGCACAGGUAGCAAUACUGGGUGGUAACCGGCAAACGGGUGCGGAACACGUACACAACCUUCCUUUAAGUGGGGGAUAGCCCAGAGAAAUUUGGAUUAAUACCCCGUAAUAUAGUUGAAUGGCAUCAUUUGAUUAUUAUAGCUACGGCGCUUAAUGAUGGGUGUGCGGCUGAUUAGAUAGUUGGCGGGGUAACGGCCCACCAAGUCUACGAUCAGUAGCUGAUGUGAGGGCAUGAUCAGCCACACGGGCACUGAGCCACGGGCCCGACUCCUACGGGAGGCAGCAGUAAGGAAUAUUGGUCAAUGGACGCAAGUCUGAACCAGCCAUGCCGCGUGAAGGAUUAAGGUCCUCUGGAUUGUAAACUUCUUUUAUUUGGGACGAAAAAGGGCCUUUCUAGGUCAACUGACGGUACCAGAUGAAUAAGCACCGGCUAACUCCGUGCCAGCCGCCGCCGUAAAAC
rnacentral:rRNA from 1 species